rnacentral:rRNA from 1 species
UGGGGAAUUUUGGACAAUGGGGGAAACCCUGAUCCAGCCAUCCCGCGUGUGCGAUGAAGGCCUUCGGGUUGUAAAGCACUUUUGGCAGGAAAGAAACGUCGCGGGUUAAUACCCCGCGAAACUGACGGUACCUGCAGAAUAAGCACCGGCUAACUACGUGCCAGCAGCCGCGGUAAUACGUAGGGUGCAAGCGUUAAUCGGAAUUACUGGGCGUAAAGCGUGCGCAGGCGGUUCGGAAAGAAAGAUGUGAAAUCCCAGAGCUUAACUUUGGAACUGCAUUUUUAACUACCGGGCUAGAGUGUGUCAGAGGGAGGUGGAAUUCCGCGUGUAGCAGUGAAAUGCGUAGAUAUGCGGAGGAACACCGAUGGCGAAGGCAGCCUCCUGGGAUAACACUGACGCUCAUGCACGAAAGCGUGGGGAGCAAACAGGAUUAGAUACCCUGGUAGUCCACGCCCUAAACGAUGUCAACUAGCUGUUGGGGCCUUCGGGCCUUGGUAGCGCAGCUAACGCGUGAAGUUGACCGCCUGGGGAGUACGGUCGCAAGAUUAAAACUCAAA